rnacentral:lncRNA from 1 species
GAGUAUGGAAGGAGAGGAGGGAUAGCAUGUGAGAAAGCUGAAUGUUUUUAUUUGUUAAUGAAUAGGAAUAUAACUCACAUAAAUUGUUGGAUGGCUUGCCUUUAGAAUAGAAUCGUUUUAUUGUCAAUUGUACUAUUGCACAACAAAAUUACAGACUUCCGGUUUGGCGAGAUGGCGGCGGGGUGGACUUCUUGAUCACUCGAGAAGCCAGCCGAGCGAUUGCGACCGGGUAGAGCGUGGAGCUCCCUCUCCCUGACGGAUCGAGGUCAGGGAGACUGCCAAACCCGUAGGGCUGCCAACCGAUGGUCUUAGAGCCCCUAUCCCCUCAAGGGUGGGAGCAAACAGACCCGGACUGGUAGUCCGCAGGGUGUGCGGGUCGCAGCGAGGCUAACCAGACAGAGGACUGGGUUACCGCCGAAACUCGCUCAAAUUUUUUAAAUUCAAGAAAGAAGCAGGAGCGAAAGCUCAAGAAAGGUAUGAAAAGAAUAUCCAAUAUCUAUAUCCAGAGAAAAGGCUUACUCUAAUUGAAGAAAUAAUUAUUCUUUUUGCCCGGGACGGAAAAACGGAAAAAUAAUCUCAGAUAAACUUUGCAUCAGAAGCCGGGUGCUCGGGGAGCCGAGGAGUGGGCGAAACGGCCAGAUAAUAGAAGGAAAAUACAAUUGAAAUACAGUGAAAUACAGUGAUUAAAUCUAAAAGAAUAGAGAAUAAAGAACAAAGAAGAACUGACCUUGGCGACAUAUUGUUGUGUCUAGAGGGGAGGUUCUUCAUAAACAAUCCAGAGAUAAGAAGCGCACAUGGUCGGAGGGAAAUGACGAGUGGGAGCGAAGGGCUGGUUUGAAGAAAGAAAGGAGGAGAGGUGGAAGACGAUUGGGCGCCACUCCAAUCAAUCAGCCAAAGCUCCUUACCAAGGAAAAACGGAAGAGGACUAAUUAGAGGGGUGCGGAGAGGAAAGGAGCAGUAAAUUGAAUAUAAAGCUGUGAGGUGAUAUAAAGCUGAAGGACUGGAUAAGACUAGGGACAAGAGACUAAAGAGACUAAAGUUCUGAAGAAGAGAGAGAUAAAACGGAGAUUGAGGGACUAUAAUACUAUAAUUUACAAUUAUAAAUAGUAGACUGAUCUAAUAAAAGUAA